rnacentral:misc_RNA from 1 species
GAUGAAGAACGUAGUGAAAUGCGAUAAGUAAUGUGAAUUGCAGAAUUCAGUGAAUCAUCGAAUCUUUGAACGCACCUUGCGCCCUUUGGCCAUUCCGAAGGGCAUGCCUGUUUGAGUAUCAUGAACACCUCAACUCUUCAUGGUUUUCCAUGAUGAGCUUGGACUUUGGGGGUCUUGCUGGCCUGUGGGUCGGCUCCUCUCAAAUGAAUCAGCUUGCCGGUUUUUGGUGGGCAUCACAGGUGUGAUAACUAUCUACGCUUGUGGUUUUCCACCAGGGUAACCUUCAGCAGUGGAGGUUCACUGGAGCUUACAAAUGUCUCUCCUCUGUGAGGACAGCCCUUUGAAUGUUUGAUCUCAAAUCAGGUAGGACUACCCGCUGAACUUAAGAAUAUCAAUAAGCGGAGA